CCCCCCCCCCCCCAACGGGGGGUUGGGCGUAGCAUCCACCCCGUUGACCUUAUUGUCCAGGGCAAGUUUAGAGCCCUAGGCAGGUGUGAUCAUAACAGGUAGAACUGGUUUCUUGUUACCCUUAGGUUCAGUGUGGCGCAAAUAGUUGCAUGUUAAGAAGCCUGUGGUGUGGAAAGAUAUGCAUGCUGCUCCUGAAUAACCUUCCCCUGCAAGCAUGAACCACGGAUUCAUAAUAUUAGUGGCAGCUCUAUGCCUGCGUCACGCACGGGCCAUGACCUCUACUGAGGUUCCUACAAUUAACUUAACAAAUGCUUGGACCACCACAGUACUAGAGGUCGGUGAACUUUCAAACCCUCAGCCAUUCAUGGAGACAACAAAAGAAUGGGACAAACAAACAACUCCACAACUGAGUGCCACAUCAACAGGGAUUAAGGGAAGCUUAAGUGAAAAUAUAGACGCCGGCGAUGAGACAAAUAUUGCUUCUUCUGUCCUCAUGGAACCAUCGUCUCUUGCUCCCACAUUAAGAUCACGCGCUUAGUAAAUUUAUGCAUGAGCACAACACAAAGAACAACAGUAUUUUCUUCAUCGCCACACAGACCAUCACAAACUACAGUUGUAUCCAGACAAACAGCCUCUUCAGCUAGGGCUCCACUAACUGCAACAACCACACCACUUAUGACAGAAACAUUCACAUCGAAAACUGUGUCCACAUCAGUACAAACACAAUCUAUUCCUCCCACAAUGGAAUCAUCCACAACAACAACAACAACGACACAUAGUACAGGAUCUAUUGCAUCAUCAACUCAAAAACCAACACAAAUUACAGAUGUAUCCAGACAAACAGCAUCUUCAGCUAUGGCUCCACCAUCUGCAACAACCACAUCAGAUACUUCACAAACAUCAAAAUCAGUCACAACAGAACCAACAACAGCUGCAACACAACCUGCUGAAUCAACAGCACUUUCCAGCACUUUGACACAUAGUGGAUCAGUGACUACAAGAACACAAACUACACAACCUAUGACAACAGCAUUCACAACACAAACUAGGUCAACAAUCGUACCAACAGAAUCUAUAACGCCCACAAUAGAAUCAUCAACAACUCCAACACAAAGUACAGCCAUUUCUGUUUCAUCACCACAAAAAACAACACAAACCCCAGUAGAAACAGUACAAACAACAUCUUUAGAAAAAGGUGCACCAUCAGUAGCAACUAAAUCAGUGACUUCACACACAUCUGGAUCAUUAACAACAGAGCAACCCACAGCUGCGCAACAAACUAACCAAUCGAUGGAAAUUCACAGCACAUCUGGUCCUAGUGGAUCAUUACCUACAUCCACAGGAACUACACCACUUAUCAUGGAAACAUUCACAUCGAAAACUGUGUCCACAUCAGUACAAACACAAUCUAUUCCUCCCACAAUGGAAUCAUCCAGCAACAACAGCUACACAAAAUACACCACCACAGGUUAUGGUUGCAACCACACAAUCAGCAACUUCAACAGGAGCUGCACCAUCUGCGACAACCAAAUUGGGGACUUCACAAACAUCAACAACAGCAGCAUUAACAACAGCGCAACCCACGGUUGCAGGACAAACUGCAGAGUCAACGGCAAACAAAACACCCAAUUCCCUGGAUGCAUCAACUCUAAAUCCCAUUGAAGCCAACAUAACACAACAGCAAGUUGAUCCUAACUCUGUUCCUUUUUCUCGAGGAAAUAUAGUUUUUUUCAACCAUACCCCCGAAAUUGCUGCUGUCAGGCCGCUUGACUUUGGUUACCCAUCUGUCAUCUGGACCACAUUCCAAGUUACAAGCCAGUCAGACCAGAACGACACAAAUCAGGAUAAAGUGCCUUUCCGUCACUUUGUGUGAUUCCUACAUUUCCCCCCACAAGUGUGAACAAUGGUUAAUGGACUUGCCGUUUAAAAGAUCCAACCACUCAAAGAACUUUACAGUACAUGUCUACAUUGACCCUUUCAGGCUCACGUUCAUGUCAUGCAAAGUCAAAGGCCAUCACGAUCUAAUCUAGAUAACAUUGAUAUUGUACACCCUGAUGGCAAGUUGGCAGCAUUUUGGCAUUCAGUCUCCUUCCCAAGGGCCGGAGGAGCUGGGAAUUGAAUCGGCGAUGAUCAAAUUAGAAGAAACUGAUGGCUGGAAAUCCUGAGUUUAAGUCCAGACAAACCCUCACUUAUGUCAUACUUCAGAAGAAUGUUCGCCAACACCGAUGGAUUUCCCGAGAAAAAUGAGCACAUCCCAAAAACAAUCAUAAUAAAUCAAAUGGACGUGAACACAUGUUUCAACUUGCUAGCUUACAUCGUAGACUAAGCAGAUAUCAUGUAUAUAACGUCACUGAUACACGUCUACACAGCUUCUCACGCUGAAUGUGAGUCGUCUUUGUUCAGCUAGUUAUAGCUCAUAUUGGUGGUGGUUUGGUCAGUUAGACCCUCACUGGUCUCUUCUGUCUGUGCGUCCUAAAAGUUACACAAAUUAAUAUUCUAAAUACAUGCUCAUAGCAAAGUGUACACAUUUUCAAAGUUUUUUUCCGUGGUAUUUAAUUGUUGUUGUGUUUGUUUCUGGGUUUUAUUGCCACCUAAUUUUUGAGGUCAAUUAACACUUUCAACUUAUUUCUGUUGUGACAUUGAUA
ensembl:lncRNA